rnacentral:rRNA from 1 species
UACGUAGGUGGCAAGCGUUGUCUGGAUUUAUUGGGUUUAAAGGGUGCGUAGGCGGCCUUAUAAGUCAGUGCUGAAAUAUCCCGGCUUAACCGGGAGGGUGGCAUUGAUACUGUAGGGCUUGAGUAAAGUUGAGGUUGGCGGAAUUGACGGUGUAGCGGUGAAAUGCGUAGAGAUUGGGAAGAACACCGGUGGCGAAAGCGCUCUGCUGGGCCGCAACUGACACUAAUGGACGAAAGCUAGGGGAGCGAAUGGG